UAGAAAGCUGCCAGGUGAGCAUUUUG
rnacentral:piRNA from 1 species